UGGACACUCCGUUCUACAAACAGAAAAUGAUGAAGAUGGCUAAGUAGAGGUGAAAGCAGAUUAAAGUGAAAAGGAGAAACAAGGUUGACAAGAAAUGGAGCCAUAUAACUUCUGAGAGGCAGCAAAAGGAAGGUGGUCUUUCUUGCCAGAUAACCCCAGCCAGGAGCAUCAUGGGAAGGGAGGUGUUAGGAGGAACUGUUGGCACUGGGCUGUUUUUCUUUAGUAGUAGAUGGGAAAAGGCCAGUUGUUCUCUCCCCUGCUGAGGCUCCCUCGGCUUGGAUUUAAAACCACCUGGCUCUCACAGACUCACAAAUGCCAGACGUUUGAAUCAAUCAUGCCCGAUUUCCUUAUGUGAAAGAGGCCUGGUUGGGUAAUUAUUAAAAUGCAAUAGGAUGUGUUGCAUAAUGCUCGGCAGAAAGAGCUGUAUCCAUUAGUGUAUUAAUGAUGUACAGGACCGAAGGUCUACUUGACUCCUGUUCUUGCUGGUAAGGAAUGGAAGGCAUGCCAGACCCAUUAUCCACCUGAGAGGAACCUAUCUGAAAGAAAUUCAAGAUUCCAGCAGGAAACCUUAGAUAAGGAAGGCCUUUUAAAGCAGAAUUGAGAGUUGAGAAGAGCAGCGUCAAAACCUUUGCCUUGCUGUGGUUAGAGAAUAAAAAGGAAAUAAAUGCAUGCAGUCAUACGCAAUCUGCUAUCUUCAAAUGUCUUCUCCUCACUGUCAGUCUCUUGCCCAGUGCAAGCUGUCCUAGAUCUAAGGGGAAGCAGCAGUCUCAAUUCCCACAAAUAUCCAGUGGUAUCUCUUCUCCCUGCUGCACUCUGGGGUCAGGAGAGAGCAUCAAACACCUUUUUCUUGCCACUUGAAUGAUACUGAGAAACCAACAUCUAUUUCAAGAAAAAAUAUGUUACCUAGCUGGGUGGCCUGCAUUAGCAUACAAAUGAUAAAAACGUUCAUUCAGUACAAAGUAAAGUAUCAUUUGUAAAACAGAAAAUGACGGUGAUGGCCUUUAAUCCUAGCAUUUGGGAGUCAGAGGCAGGCAGAUCUCUGAGUUUAAGGCCAUCCAGUCUACAAAUUGAGUUCCAGGACAGCCAGAGCUGCACAGAGAAACUCCCAUCUCUAAAACCAAAUGACAAAACAGACAACAAAAAGAAAAGAACAACGAUAUUCUUUGAUAAAAAUGAUGUCAUCUUUAAGAGUUAAAACUGCUUUAAAAAAAAAGGUUGGAGAGAUGGCUCAG
rnacentral:lncRNA from 1 species